rnacentral:rRNA from 2 species
AUGGUUAAGUUAGAAAGGGCGCACGGUGAAUGCCUUGGCACUAGGAGCCGAUGAAGGACGGGACUAACACCGAUAUGCUUCGGGGAGCUGUAAGUGAGCUUUGAUCCGGAGAUUUCCGAAUGGGGAAACCCACUGUUCGUAAUGGAACAGUAUCCUUACCUGAAUACAUAAGGUAUUGAAGGCAGACCCGGGGAACUGAAACAUCUAAGUACCCGGAGGAAGAGAAAGCAAAUGCGAUUUCCUGAGUAGCGGCGAGCGAAACGGAAUUAGCCCAAACCAAGAGGCUUGCCUCUUGGGGUUGUAGGACACUCUAUACGGAGUUACAAAGGAACGAAGUAAAUGAAGCGACCUGGAAAGGUCCGUCGAAGAAGGUAACAACCCUGUAGUUGAAACUUCGUUCCCUCUUGAGUGGAUCCUGAGUACGGCGGAACACGUGAAAUUCCGUCGGAAGCUGGGAGGACCAUCUCCCAAGGCUAAAUACUACCUAGUGACCGAUAGUGAACCAGUACCGUGAGGGAAAGGUGAAAAGCACCCCGGAAGGGGAGUGAAAGAGAUCCUGAAACCGUGUGCCUACAAGUAGUCAGAGCCCGUUAACGGGUGAUGGCGUGCCUUUUGUAGAAUGAACCGGCGAGUUACGAUCCCAUGCAAGGUUAAGCUGAUAAGGCGGAGCCGUAGCGAAAGCGAGUCUGAAUAGGGCGUUUAGUAUGUGGUUGUAGACCCGAAACCAGGUGAUCUACCCAUGUCCAGGGUGAAGUUCAGGUAACACUGAAUGGAGGCCCGAACCCACGCACGUUGAAAAGUGCGGGGAUGAGGUGUGGGUAGCGGAGAAAUUCCAAUCGAACCUGGAGAUAGCUGGUUCUCUCCGAAAUAGCUUUAGGGCUAGCCUCAUGUUGURAGAGUCUUGGAGGUAGAGCACUGAUUGGACUAGGGGCCCCCAACGGGUUACCGAAUUCAGUCAAACUCCGAAUGCCAAAGACUUAUCCAUGGGAGUCAGACUGCGAGUGAUAAGAUCCGUAGUCAAAAGGGAAACAGCCCAGACCACCAGCUAAGGUCCCCAAGUAUACGUUAAGUGGAAAAGGAUGUGGAGUUGCUUAGACAACCAGGAUGUUGGCUUAGAAGCAGCCACCAUUUAAAGAGUGCGUAAUAGCUCACUGGUCGAGUGACUCUGCGCCGAAAAUGUACCGGGGCUAAACGUAUCACCGAAGCUGUGGAUUGACAUCUUUGAUGUCAGUGGUAGGAGAGCGUUCUAAGUGCWGYGAAGUCAGACCGUAAGGACUGGUGGAGCGCUUAGAAGUGAGAAUGCCGGUAUGAGUAGCGAAAGACAAGUGAGAAUCUUGUCCACCGAAUGCCUAAGGUUUCCUGAGGAAGGCUCGUCCGCUCAGGGUUAGUCGGGACCUAAGCCGAGGCUGAAAAGCGUAGGCGAUGGCCAACAGGUUGAUAUUCCUGUACCACCUCCCCGCCGUUUGAGUAAUGGGG